ACCCAUGUAAAAUCGACAUUUUUUUCUUUCUAACUAAUCGCGGUACGACACCCAGCCUUUGUCUUUUCUUCCGCUCGCCGCCGCCGCCUCUCUUCUGUGCGCAGCCACCCCUCUCUGUUCUACUCGCCCCCUUGAAAUGGCAGCCACAAAUGCACACAAAAACUGCAGCAUUUAUCGCCUCUUAUUUCCUCCCCAUCACCUUGCAAGUGCGGAAUAAAGUGCUGAAUUUAACUGGGCAGCGGCUGCCUUCGUCUUUAAAAGGAUGCCUGCACUGCCAUCAUCGUCGACCUGUUCGCGUCCUGCUCUCGGAACCGGCCUGGCGGCCUCCACUCUGGUGCUCGAUGUGACAGGUCUCUUGCUACUCCAUUGUUAUGCAGGCUCUCGUCUUUAGAAAAGUUCAUUGCUUCAGUAGUCCAGCCGGUGAACAGUUAGCUAUAUGGAAGCUCAAUGGAGUAUGGACAACAAAUCAAAUACAUGAUAAGAAGUAAGUAAGGAAACAUCAGAAGAUGUUUUUCGCAGUCCAUUGUACAAACACACUCGAAGAUUAUGCCCUUUGGGUAAAAAAGAUUAUGCUUUCAA